rnacentral:rRNA from 1 species
CGACCGGCAAACGGGUGCGGAACACGUACACAACCUUCCUUAAAGUGGGGGAUAGCCCAGAGAAAUUUGGAUUAAUACCCCGUAACAUUAUGAGAUGGCAUCAUUUUAUAAUUAAAGCUCCGGCGCUUAAAGAUGGGUGUGCGGCUGAUUAGGUAGUUGGUGGGGGUAACGGCCCACCAAGCCUUCGAUCAGUAACUGGUGUGAGAGCACGACCAGUCACACGGGCACUGAGACACGGGCCCG